rnacentral:tRNA from 1 species
GGAGGGAUGUCCGAGCGGUUUAAGGAGGCGGUCUUGAAAACCGUUGAACCUUCGCGGGUUCCGUGGGUUCGAAUCCCACUCCCUCCGCCA